AACGUACGCUGGCGGCACGCCUAACACAUGCAAGUCGAACGCAGUAGCAAUACUGAGUGGCAGACGGGUGAGUAACAUGUGGGAAUCUGCCUUGUGGUUCAGGACAACAUUGGGAAACCGAUGCUAAUACUGGAGAAGCCCUUACGGGGAAAGUUUUAAUGCCAUAAGAUGAGCCCGCAUUUGAUUAGUUAGUUGGUGAGGUAAUGGCUCACCAAGACAAUGAUCAAUAGCUGAUCUGAGAGGAUGAUCAGCCACACUGGGACUGAGAUACGGCCCAGACUCCUACGGGAGGCAGCAGUGGGGAAUCUUGCACAAUGGAGGAAACUCUGAUGCAGCGAUGCCGCGUGAGUGAAGAAGGCCUUUGGGUUGUAAAGCUCUUUUGUAGGGGAAGAUAAUGACUGUACCCUAAGAAUAAGGUCCGGCUAACUUCGUGCCAGCAGCCGCGGUAA
rnacentral:rRNA from 1 species